UCCACUCCAGUAUUCUUGCCUGGAGAAUCCCAUGGACAGAGGAGCCUGGCAGGCUAUAAUCCACGGAGUUGCAAAGAAUCGGACAUGACAAAUGAGGCCCAGGGAUGCAGAGCCAGGAUGUAAACUCUGUCCCACCCCAAACCUAGUGCUCUUUCCCUACUCUCACUGUCUGACGUUGGCAUCUCUGGAUCCCAGGAGCAUGUGGUUGUGAAGGGUCCUCACCAGGACUGGGAGUCCCAAGUCACAGGUCUGAGCAGGCCUGAGCACAAUGAGAAGGAAGGAUUGGAGCCCAGGGCUGGACCAUCUCAUCAGGCGUGUUUACAUUCCCAAGUAUCCCAGACGACCGUGGCUGAUAAGGAUGUCUCUGGCCUGGGAACCCCUGCAGUGACUUUAUCUCUAGAUGGGGCCUGGCUAGCUCUGGCUGGAGAGGAAGAGUGCCUCUGGGUUUCUGAGAAGUUUCACAGUGCAAUGCUCAAGUGUGGCUGAACCAGCGUGAUUCUGGUGCAGACUACCCAACCCCCCAUCCCUCCCUCUUCUGUUGCUGCCUGCUGCACUCCACUCCCCGACCUCUUUCUCCCAUGACAGGAUCCUGCCAGGCCCACCCAGCGCCAUUCCUCUUGCUCCUAUAGCUCAGUUAAUCUGGGAGCCACCUGAGGGCAGCAUCACCUGGGACCCAUCCUGCCUGCACAGGGCUGGGCCUCUCACACUGGACAUCCGCCAGAACUCGUGGCUUUUCAGGCUCCCUGGACCCACUCCUCCCCUCUCUCUGGACUAAGGCAGAGGCUGGAGUUACAUCUUUGACUACUUCCUUUCUCACAAGCCUUACAUGCCCAUAUCCUUCUAAGAAGCACUCACUAUGUGCCUGGGUACUUUGUUUAAUGAGUUCCCCAGACUCCUUGGGGCUUCCCAGGUGACUCAGUGGUAAAGAAUAGACCUCCCAAUACAGGAAAUGCAGGACUCACGGGUUUGAUCCCUGGGUUGGGAAGAAUCCCCUGGAGGGGGAAAUGGCAACCCAUUCCAGUAAUCUUGCCUGGAUAAUCCCAUGAACAGAGGAGCCUGGCAGGCUAUAGCCCAUGGGGUUGCAAAGAAUCAUACACGACUGAGCAACUGAUGAUGCACACUAAACUCCCAAGAGGCGCUAUCCUAAUUACCAUCAACACAAAAAAUAAAGCAUCCUUGAUGGUUGAUGACUUGCCCAACUUUGCCCAGUUGUCACAUCCUAGAUGGUUGAUGACUUGCCCAAGGGCACACAACUGGAAGCCACAGAACUGGCCUCUGAGACAGGGCUGUCCAACUUGGCUUGGAGGGCUCAACAGUGGGCAGAAGACAGACUCCAAGUUAUACCUGCUGGAGUGGAAGUGGGGCACGGGAAGGAGCUUACUUGUGUCUGGCUGGGGGAACUCAGAGGGCUACAGGGGAAAGAGGAAAGAGGUGUACCUGUCAUAUAAUGCUGUGUACCCCAAGCCUAGUGCUUGAAACAAUGACAUUUAUUUUGUCCUCAAAUCUAUAUGUGGUCAGGGCUCAGGGCUUCCCUGGUGGCUCAGAGGUUAAAGCGUCUGCCUGCAAUGAGGGAGACCUGGGUUCGAUCCCUGGGUCGGGAAGAUUCCCUGGAGAAGCCAAUGGCAACCCACUCCAGUAUUCUUGCUUGGAGAAUCCCAUGGGCAGAGGAGUCUGGUGGGCUAUAGUCCAUGGGGUCGCAAAGAGUCGGACAUGACUGAGUGACUUCACUUUCACUUUCCAUUCACUUUCAGAGGGGAUAGUUCAUCUCUGCUCGACUCGGCAUUACCUGGGAUGGUUGGCAGUCUGCGAGCUGGAAUCAUUUGAAGAGUCAUUCAUGGGCACCUCGCCAGUUGUCUCUCCACGGAUGAGGAAAAUGAAGAGGUGAAAAGCCUCCUUGAACAUCUGGAAAGCAGAGCAGCUGGCACGGUCACCCAGAAUCCACACUGCACCGGUCGCUCUCCAAACGCCCCAGCUCUGUCCUCCGUUCUGGUCUGUGUCCCGGGGGGCUGACUUCUGUGGAGGCUUCACCCUUCUGUUAGGUUCAGCCAAGAAGAAGCUAUGGCGGGAGGCCAGGGAGGGAGGAGAGAGAGGGCAAAGCAUUUGGUCUGCCUGCUCCUCCUGCCUGGCCACAGUGCAGGCUCUGCUGGCUCUGGGAACGCCAUUGCUGCAGGUGGGGAACUGCUUCCCGCCCCUCUGUCGCUGGUCUGGACAUCGCUCUUCACCCUCUGUUGGUUCCCUUCAUCUGCCCAUCACGUCAUUCAUCUCUCUUCAGCCCCUCACCUUGAACGGCCCAAUCUCCUGCUGGGAUCCCAGUUGAGACCAAGCUGGACCUUCUCCUGCCUUACUGCCAUGUUCCCCAUCUCCACUGGGAUGCUCCCCACAGCCCCAUCCCCACCCACCUGAGACAGGAAAGUGACUUGGCAAAGUCUGCUUCCCCGUUGAGUCUCCUGCCUUGUUUCUGGGCUGGUGCUGCUGUGGAAACAAGGAAACGGGUUUCCAGGGGCUGGGACUGAGUUCCUCCGGGGCCCUCAUCUCCUGGGACAUGCUGGGUCUCCUGGGCUUCCACCUAGAAGAAGCAGAGUGUCCCGAGGUUGGGGGUGGAGUCUGAAACUAGGUUUUGUCUCCUCCUCCCCCUGGCUGGGGGACACAAGGAAGAAGAAGCGGCAGAGGCUCUCCCCACGAGCUGCAGGAUGCUUAGGAGUGACCUAGCGUGACCCCUCUUGGUUUCAGCAGCAGGAACAGGCCCGCGAGUGAUGCACACACUAGAUGGAUGCCCCCUGUGUCUGCUUCACGCUCAGGCUUUCCCCUGAGUGCCACACACAGACCUCCAAGUGCCCCAGGGACCUACCUAACCCAGGAUCACUGACACCCAACACACUCCCCUCCCACCAUGUCCCCUCCAUCAGGGAAGACACCAGAAGCCUGGAGUCAUCUCUGACAGUCUCUCUCCAUCCUCAACCUCUGACCUUCUACGGGUUCUCAUGAGUCCAGCAGUUUGACUUGCUAAACUGCUCUGGACCCUCCCCUCUCGUCUCCUGGCCAUCACCACUCCCCUAGUCCAGGCUUCUUUGUCUACACUCAGUUGCAACAACGGCCUCCUCAUUUCUCUCACUGGUCCCAGUCUUGCUACCUCCCAUCCAUCCUCUGUUGAGCAGCUAGCCUGAUCUUUCAGAAGUACGAAUCUAACUAAGUAUGUCUCUUCCAUGCUUAGAAGGAGCCCUGGAUCUCUAACCUGUGUGAUACACUCAGGCCUCCCUCUCCAGCUUUGCCUUGGAAGCAAAACCCUAUUCGAUGGUCUGUGAUCCAUGAGCCCUUGCUGGCUUCUUCAUGCAUGCCUCUGAGUCUGUUUCAGAGGGGCCCCUUGGAAAGGGUUCCUCCUCAUUCCCACCAGCAUCAUCACUGUUGUUGUAGUCUGAGUUCCUCCAAAUGCAUGACUCAAGGUCCCAGCGUAAGUUGUUUAUAGGGAAGUGAUUCUGAGAAGCGGGAGUAAAGGGGUGUGAAGAAUGCGACAGGGAAGGGAGAAAAGUCCACCCUUGUGAGUUCUAUCAUCUGUGCAGUGUGCGAUGGGGCUGCGCUGCACCAGGACCCUGCGGAGCCUACGGAACACCUCCCAGGAAUCGUCUACCUGCAGGAAGUUGCUCCGGACACUCACUCCAUUGGGUAAGGGCCUUUGCACCCCUUGUCUGCAUAGCCUGCCCCAGCUAGUCAGGUGCUGAAGAGCUGCAGCCAAUGCGGAGAUGCGCAGCACAAGCUUGGGGUAAGAUGCUGGCUGUGGGAGGUGACCUUUGUCUGAAAUCAGAAGUGAGCCAAGGGAUGUGACUACAUCCUCCUGGCCUGGCUUGUUGGGGCUCAGUGCACAUGAGGUGCCCCAAGUUGCUGAAGAGGAGGCUAUGGUCAGAGUGUACCUCUGGAAGGAGUUUGGGCUUUGCUGUUUUGUUUCCUGAGUUCAAUCUUUGGUGCCUGCAGUAGGUCUCCUAGUGGGCCACACCACACUCGAGCCACCAUGUCGAUAACAUAGGGACAAUAAAUUCUACCAUUGAGGUAUUUAUGAGAAUCAACCACGCCAUCAGAAAUGAGUGCAUACGGCAAAGUCUGAUGUCAAACACAGCUGGUUGUGUUUGUUUCCUUCUUCCCUCACAGCGCUGGUGCUGUAGGCUCUUCCUGACUCUGCUCCCUCAGCCAGGAGCACCCCAGCUCCUCCAUGCUGUGGGUUUAGCCUGUGUUACCAGGAGCCCUGGCCUCCUGGCCUGGCUUUGGGGUGAGCACAGCUGCAAUCCCCUCCCCCACUCCAGGAUACAGAACUGAAGUAGCUUUUGUGGAACAUGGAAGAGACGUCAAUGCGUGCCACACAGCAAUAACACUCUUCUAAAUUUCCAUGAACCAUUUCUGUCUUUCCCCCCAACCCCUCUUCUGACCCAGCUGCCUUUCUCACAUGGGUGAAUUUAGCUUGAACCGAAACUUCCAGUUCUACUCCUCCAUGCUCAGCCCUCCACUUUGGCCUCUGGUCUCUAUUCACCUGUUAUGGGUUGAAUUGUGCCUCCCCCCAAUAACUUCGUAUGUUAAAGCCUUAACCCUCAGCAUCUCAGAAUGUGACCAUAUUUGGAAAUAGGGUUGAUGUAGACAUUCAUUAUUAAGAUGAGAUCAUAAUAGAGCAGGGUGGGCCCCUAACCCAGUGUGACAGGUACCCUAAAGAAGAGGCAAAAUUUAGACAGAGACGCAUACACAGGAAGACGUUCCCGUGAAGACCAGAAUUGUGCUGUAUAUGACAGGGACCCACCAGGAUGCUAGGAGAGUGGCCUGGAACAGUUCCUUUCCUAGUGCCUUCAGAGGAACACGGCCUUGCCAACACCUUGAUCUUGAACUUCCAGCCUCCGGAACUGGGAGACAAUGUAUUCCUUUUGUUUUAAGCUUCCCAGUUUUUGGUGCCUUGUUCCAGCAGCCUGAGCAAACAGAUACACCACCUAAAAAGGAAACUUAUUUUCUGUGUCAUAUAUCAUGUUUCUAGCUCUCUCUUCUUUUUUAUUAUUAAAUAUUUAUUUAUAAAUGAACAAUAUUUUUGUCCCCAUAUUAUCCCUUGGUUUCUCUGUUCAUGUGUUUAUCUUUCUGGACUCGCAGUUGGACUGUGAACCCCUUGGAGGCAGGCUAUAUGUCAUUCUCAUUGUUGUAUCUUCAAGGCCUGGCACAGAGCCUGGCCCACAGGAGUCAUUAAUUAAGGUUUGCUGGAGAUUUUUUGAAAGAGGUAACUCUGAUGCUUGCCCCUGAAGUGUGGCCCUUUGGACAGGCAGAGCCAUCCGGAGAAGGCAUCAGAGGGAUGAGAAUGGUGCUAGCAAAAUUCAGAGGCAGGAUACAUGCUAAAGGAAUGAGUGAGCUACUCACUGUUGCCUGGGAGCUGGGGUUCGGGAUUCUGGGAGAGAUGGAGGCAGGGUGGGAUAGAGAGUUGGGAGAAGUGGGCAUCAGGGUUUCAGAGUUUGGGAAUGCGUUUAACUGAGAAGGCAAUGGAGCGGUGGAGAAUCAUGGAUAAGAGAGGGAACAACAGAGGGGCUCUGGGAAGAUUAUUUAGCUACGGAAGAGUCCAAAGACAGGGAGGCCAGGGAGGUCGGUGGCUGGGGCCACCAUCCAGGUGAAAGAUCACAGAGGCCUGAACCCUCAGGGACAUGAGGAUGAAAAGAAGAUGAAAGACAUUUCGGAGGAAGAAAUGUGUGCCCGAUGACUAAUUUAGAGAUCUCUUCCCCUUUGAGGUGCCUGUCUCCAAGCUCUUCCUCCUUCUGAAGAUGCCACGCUGAGAAUUUCCAUGAUGUAGGCAGUGACGUAUAAAUCACCCCACCCCCGUGACCUCUGUGGCAGCUGUCAGUCUUGGGGAUGGAGCAGAGGAAUGAGCAACCCCCACCUCAGGCUGCUGAGGUUUCUGGUCCACUAUUCAAAAUGUCAUGGAAGCAAGUGAUUUUUCACCUUUUAAAAAAUAUAUAUAUAAACUUUUUUCUUUUCAUUUAUGACUAAUGUAAGUUAACUGUAUAAGAAAAAAUCUGAAAGGCUAGUAGCAUUAGCUCUUAUGAGUGUAAGGUGAAAAUUGUUUUCAAUAAAAAUAACCUUGGGUAAUCACUUAAGUGGAAGGACCUGGGAUAUUAGAAAUUCAGAAGACAAAGGUUAUGUUGUAUAACAACCUUUUGACUGUGACCUCUUUUUCCAUGGAGCAUCAAGGACCAAGAUCUAGUUUGAAAUGGGUGAAAGGGCUGUUUGGAGGUGGUGGGUAGAUAGAUUAAAUGUUUGCUGGGUAUGAGUCCAUUAUGUGGAUAAGUCAAAUAAGAAAAUAAAAAUAACCUGAAAUGUUACUCAUUUUUUGGUGAAUAUCCUCUUUCCAUUCUGUUUUCUUUUUCCCCUAAUGCAUUUUAAAAGCUAUAUUCAGUGGAGUCUAAAGUGCCUCUUGAUGUGGUGACUGAGAAAGACACCUCAUGUCUGUGGUAUUCCUGCUGAAAAGGCAGAACCUGACAGAGGAAACAUCAGACUAACCCAAGCUGAGAACCAGUCUAUAAGAUUAUUGGUGCAGACUUAUCCAAAGUGUCAGCGUCAUAAAUGAAAAAGACAGUGAAAGACUAACCGCUUCAGAUUAGUGGAGAUGAGACAUGGCUACCAAACAGAACGCAUGAUUCUGGAUUUCAUCCUAGGCUAGAAAGGAAAUUGCUGUAAAGGAAUCAAUGUUGGAGAGGAUGUGGAGAAAAGGGAACCCUCUUGCACUGUUGGUAGGAAUGCAAAUUGAUCCAGCCAUUAUGGAAAACAGUAUGGAGAUUCCUUAAAAAAAAAAACAGCAACUAGGAAUC